UGCUACCUAGCUAUUGAUCCUUUCUUGUGGUGCCUGGUGAUGUUAAAUAAGUUUUAUUUUUUUUUCCUGUAAUUUUCAAUAUAGUUUAGUUUUACAUAAUGAUAGCUAAAAUUGUGAAUUUCUUUCAUGUUUAUGGUGUAUACGAGCACUAGAGAGGUGAACUUUUUAUUUCUCUAGAAAAAGUGGAGAAUGAUGGAGGUGAUCCGAAGGAGACCGCAGUAAACUUUGUUGCUCUGCAGUAGUACAUGAAUGCACUAAUUAGCUCCCGGCGCUCUUUAAUUUUGCCGACUCUUAUGAUAUCUCCACAUGCAGUGGCCACAUGAACAUGCCCAAAGUUGCAGGCUGCACUAAGGGUGACCAUCAUUAAUGGGUUGAAAGCUACACAGGUUUUGUUAUGCCUUUCAUUACUGUUCCACUU